rnacentral:rRNA from 1 species
AGGGCAUUUGGUGGAUGCCUUGGCAUGCACAGGCGAUGAAGGACGUGAUAUGCUGCGAUAAGCUAUGGGGAGCUGCAAAUAAGCAUUGAUCCGUAGAUUUCCGAAUGGGGUAACCCGCCUUAUGUGCCUAGGAAACUGAACUAAGUUGGUUUAAUUUUCUAGGUAUUUUGAAAGGUAUCUUUAUCUGAAUGAAAUAGGGUAAAAGAAGCGAACGC